CACCGCCUGGGGAGUACGACCGCAAGGUUAAAACUCAAAUGAAUUGACGGGGACCCGCACAAGUAGUGGAGCAUGUGGUUUAAUUCGAAGAUACGCGCAGAACCUUACCAACACUUGACAUGUUCGUCGCGACUUUAAGAGAUUAAAGUUUUCGGUUCGGCCGGACGAAACACAGGUGCUGCAUGGCUGUCGUCAGCUCGUGUCGUGAGAUGUUGGGUUAAGUCCCGCAACGAGCGCAACCCUCACUUUUAGUUGCCAUCAUUUAGUUGGGCACUCUGAAAGAACUGCCAGUGAUAAGCUGGAGGAAGGUGGGGAUGACGUCAAGUCCUCAUGGCCCUUACGUGUUGGGCUACACACGUGCUACAAUGGCACUUACAAUAGGAAGCAAGACGGCGACGUUAAGCAAAUCCUAAAAAGAUGCCUCAGUUCGGAUUGUACUCUGCAACUCGAGUACAUGAAGCUGGAAUUACUAGUAAUCGCGGAUCAGCGCGCCGCGGUGAAUACGUUCCCGGGUCUUGUACACACCGCCCGUCACACCAUGGGAGUUGGUUCUACCUUAAGGCAAAGUUUAAAACCUUUGACCACGGUAUAGUCAGCGACUGGGGUGAAGUCGUAACAAGGUAGCCGUAGGGGAACCUGCGGCUGGAUUACCUCCUUUCUAAGGAUGAACAAAUUAUUAAAUUUGUUCUAAAUAUUUAACAGGCUAAUGUUGACCGUCCGCACUUCUCUUUUUAAUUUUUUGUGUUUCUCUUCAAAACAAUGAGGGCCGGUAGCUCAGUUGGUUAGAGCACACCCUUGAUAAGGGUGGGGUCGAUAGUUCGAGUCUAUCUCGGCCCACCAAAUUUAUCUGGGGGAUUAGCUCAGCUGGGAGAGCGCCUGAUUUGCAUUCAGGAGGUCAGCGGUUCGAUCCCGCUAUCCUCCACCAUGAGAAACUUAGUUAUUUUUUUUGUGAAUAUUUUAAUAUUAUCAAUAUCUAUAUCCGAUUGUUCGAAUAGAUGAACAAUCAUGAAUGUUCGAAUAGAUGAACAUUCCAACAAAAUUUGAUUCAACACAGAAUUUUUUUCUG
rnacentral:sRNA from 1 species